AUUUCCAUUGGAGCCUCGGCUUCCUGCUUGCAGUUUGAGAUAGGAGCUCUCAGCCUCCAGCUCCAGUGGUCAUCAUGUCGGCUACCAGCUGCAUCCUGUGCUCACCAUGAUGAACCCUAACCCUGUAGAACCUCAAGCCCAAUGGAACUCUUUCUUCUGAAAGUGAUCGUGGUGUUUCAACAGUCAUAGGAAUAGAGCAUUGGCUGCUGCCCUUCACGUUUGCAGAGGCCUGAGGUGGCAGGACGGUACCGUACGAUGACAGGCACAGGUGAUGGGCUGUCAUGAGUCUGGAUCCACUGUCUCACGACUUCUACAGUACUGUCUCUUAUAAAGUAACUUCAGGUAAUGCUCAUCAUAUUUAAGAAGAUCUUUAAAAAAUACCUUCAGACCAAUUAAGGAGAGAAACAAACUCUGGAUUCCCUUGGUGAAUUCCUCAACAAGAUGGCUGUAGCAGUUUUCCAGUGGUCCGUUUAUUAGUUCCAGGACCUAUAAGUUAAAGCAAUAUUAUGUUUGUGCUGUUACUCAAUCUAAAUGGUGUCCCACAUAAAGACCUCAUACUUA